GCACUGGCUCCGCGUCGGCCGGUCGGUUUGGUCGGUUGUAGUGGCCUCGCCGCCCGGUCCGCUGUCGCAGCGCUCAUCCGCGCCGGGAGCCCUUGGCUGCGUCGCCCGGCAGCCGCGGUGAGUGACGGCCCGCGUAUCCGCUGCCGGGGCUGUGGCGGGCGUGAGGGGUUGGCCCUACCCUCGGCCCCCGACCGCCCACAUCCGCCGGUUACCCUCGAGGCUCCCCGGCCGCGCGCUCCCCUCUCUCCGUCCCAUCACCCGGUGACCCCGGCUGAGCGAACGCCCACCCCUCCCUCAGGGACCCCCUCCCCGUGACACGAUCCCCCGUGAACGCCCACCUCCCUCAGUGAACACUCCCCCGUGACAUGACCCCCCGCAAACGCCCACCCAUCCCUCGGUGACCCUGCGCCCGUGAGCGCCCACCCCUCCCCCUGCGACCCCUCCCCCCGCCACCUGGCAACUGCCGUUUUCCCGCCUUCCCUCCUCCGCCCCCUCUCCCGCAUCACCCCGUUUUCUGGUGACCGCUCCCCCCCAUCCCGUGACACAAACCCCCGACCUCCCAGCCCUUCCCCGGUGACACGAUCCCUGUGACCGUCUGGCCCGGUAACCGCCCCUCCCCUCAUGACCCUUCACCCAGUCCCCUGGUGCCCACCCCCGUCACUGCCGCCCGCCUGGUUCCAGCCUCGCGAGACCGCUGUCUACGGCGCUGACGCCGCCUCUGCCUCUUGACCCCUUGGCCCCGCUGUCCUGAUCCCUGAGGUCGGGGCCUGGUCUGCACUCCAGGAAAGACGAGUGCGCUUAGUGUGCGCUGCACGUGAGCAGUGAAGUUGAUUCCACGCGCUGCGCUGCUCGGCAGCUGUCCCAGAACUGACCACGGACCCCUCCGCGGGUCCUGCUCCUGACAAGGGCCUUCCGGCACUGGGAGUUUUGUGUUAGUGGAAAGGAAGAAUCUAAUAAUACCACCACCUUUACAGUAAAGACGCUGCGAAUUGACGCCUUUUAUAAUAAAGACACUUAUCUUGCCCAAGAGCUGGGCUGAUUGGCGCUGGUUUCCAUCUGUCAGAUUGGACAGCAGUACCACUGGCUGUUGGGGGCUCACGACCAGAUAGAGUCUUGUCUGGGAACCACAAGUGAGUGUUGUUACCACAGCUCUGCAGCAGUGAGGGCACCUCUCAAUCCACGUGCAGUCGCCCCACCUUAUCUUCAGGGGAUACGGUCCAACACCCUCAAUGGAUGCCUGAAAUCAAGGAUAGUAGUGAACACUAUAUACACUGUUUUGUUAUGCAUCCUUCCAUAUCUACGAUAAAGUUUAAUUCAUAAACUAGGCACAGGAAGAGAUUAAUAACAGCUAAUAAUAAAAUAGAACAGUCGUAACAAUAUACUGUAAUAAAAGUCAUGUGAAAGUGAUGUCUCUCUCCUAAAAUAUCUUACUGUAUUGUACGCACAUGUUUUUGAACUGCAGUUCACCGAGGGUUACUGAAUCCAUGGAUAAGGGGAGAUUACAGCAGUUUCUUUUCUGACUAUGUUAUUGAGACUUCAAAACUAACUAAAUUGUUCGUUGAAUGGAAUUGUCCAAGGUGUACAAAAUGACAGUUGUAACACAAAGGUGUUUCACUGACAUCCCUGUCACGUUUUUGCUAAACUAAUGCACUUUUAAAAAUUAUUAUUUAUGCUGGGUGUGGUGGCUUAUGCCUGUAAUCCCAGCACUUUGGGAGGCUGAGGCGGG
rnacentral:lncRNA from 1 species